ensembl:lincRNA
CGAUGUUCCAACAGACUUGUUUCAGGUGUGUUUGAAGCUACUUGUGAGUGAGUGAGUGAUUGGCUCCCUGACUUUUGAAAAAUAAAGCGUGGUGCGACUCUAGUCAUGUAGGACGGUCUCCUGGCCCCAUGUGCUUGCAGGCUGGCGUGCUGGCUGGCGCAGAAGGCAAAGAGAGUGGUGGCACGUCACCCUCCGGUGCGAACAGCGCCAGGAUCGGGACUUGCUUGCUGUGGAUGCCGUGAUGGGGACACGGUCACCGGCGACUGGCCCCAGCAGUUCUCACAAGCUGUCUCGGCCACGUGGUUUGGGUCUCUAAAGAAAGCAGAGCUGCAAAAGGAAAUGAAGACGCUCGGACAGGGUCCAACCAAGGGCUCCACGCUGCCCUUAGCUAAGACGGUGUCUUCCCUCCUUUCCAUCACCAGACUGCGAGGCCUGUCUGGGGAGAAGAUGCUGGAACAGCCCAGAAACUUCCCAGAAAAGUCCUACAGGCCCAACCUGGACAUCGUAAUGGAGGAUUUCAUGGAGCCCAAGCUCUGACACUCAAACGUGAAAACCAAAACCUGUGCCUUUGGGGUUUGCCCAUGGGCUGCCACUUAACACCCUAUCUGUCCCAUUUGGACCUGGGAGGAGGUUGGCUUGGUUUGGUUUUCUUUCUUUUCUUUCCUUGGGACACAUUGGUUUCAUGGGCCCCAAGGAAAAGACCUUGCAUUUAUUUUUCUUACAUUUCGCUUUAGUAUUAAUAGAUUUAGCUUAAAGACGGCAAGGAAAACCCCGGGAGCUUUUUGGUCUCAGUGGGAGGUAGAUGGGAAACCUCCUGGGAAGAAAACCGAGCUUUAAAAGUUGGGUUCUGGAUUAGAAGAGAGGGUUACCCGGCCACUCAGACCCUCAGUCUCUUCUUCAUCUAAAAAGUGGGCGCGAUGACAAUCAUAGCCACCCCCCCAGGGUUCGCUCUUGGCAUCGUUCUAGUGACUCAGGCCAAUAGCCAAUGACUCCACAGCACGGAACACACCUGCAGGGU